GGGGGAUAUUGCACAAUGGAGGAAACUCUGAUGCAGCAACGCCGCGUGAGGGAAGACGGUUUUCGGAUUGUAAACCUCUGUCCUCAGGGACGAUAAUGACGGUACCUGAGGAGGAAGCUCCGGCUAACUACGUGCCAGCAGCCGCGGUAAUACGUAGGAAGCAAGCGUUGUCCGGAUUUACUGGGUGUAAAGGGUGCGUAGGCGGCCCUGCAAGUCAGGCGUGGAAGGCGGAGGCUUAACCUCCGAGCUGCGUUUGAAACUGUGGGGCUUGAGUGAAGUAGAGGUAGGCGGAAUUCCCGGUGUAGCGGUGAAAUGCGUAGAGAUCGGGAGGAACACCAGUGGCGAAGGCGGCCUACUGGGCUUUAACUGACGCUGAAGCACGAAAGCAUGGGGAGCAAAC
rnacentral:rRNA from 1 species